rnacentral:misc_RNA from 1 species
GAUGAAGAACGCAGCGAAAUGCGAUAAGUAAUGUGAAUUGCAGAAUUCAGUGAAUCAUCGAAUCUUUGAACGCACAUUGCGCCCUCUAGUAUUCUGGAGGGCAUGCCUGUUCGAGCGUCAUUUCAACCCCUCUAUGCCCUUGGGUGUAGGUGUUGAGGGCCUGCGGAAACGCAGCCCUCCAAAGACAUUGGCGGACCUCCUAUGGUAUCCGAGCGCAGUAACAUAACUCUCGCUAGGGAAAACCGGGACGGACUCCUGCCGUAAAACCCCUAAUUUUCUAAGGUUGACCUCGGAUCAGGUAGGAAUACCCGCUGAACUUAAGCAUAUCAAUAAGCGGAGGGA